CUCCAAGCCCCCAAGGUGUGAUGCUGCACGGGCUGCCCUCUCACCUUCCUUCCCUGGCUGGCUUCAGCUUUCUGGGCUUGAGAGGCCUUCUUUGUGGGGCACUGUGAGCUCUCUCUUUUCAAUGUCCUGAACAACUUCUACUUCCCCCUUGCUACCCUGCCCAUAGUCCUUGCUAGAUAGAAUUCGCU